GACUAUUAUACAAUGUGAAGAUCACUGUACCGCAUUAAAUUCAUGACCCUUCUUGUUUUAAUCUUUUUGAGGAUCAAGAAAUUAAAGAUGACAUUCAUAAAUUAAACAAGAAAAAGUCAAGUUCUUUGCUCUCUUUUUUACUCUUAUUUAAUUUUGUAUUUAAUUUCAAAGAACAAAGAAAGAAAAUGUAUGGCGUCUCAGUUUUACUCUACCUUCUUACAGAGAACAAAUGGCAAGAAAUCAAGGAACUCACUUUACCUUACACAUUAGAUCAUAUCACUUCAUGUUACACACGGAAUAUAAGAAAGAUCUCUUGUACAUCCCCUUGAUAUAAAAAACUUGAGAUGUGAAACUAUUAAUGAUCACCAUGGAAGCUAGCGUUCUCCUUCGACACAUGUUGUCCCAGAUUUGUUCAAACACUAGUGGAAGGUGUAUCAGGUAGUUUGGAGGGAGAGAAGGCCAAGAAAACAAGAAGACUCAUGAUGAAGACAGGCACAAAGAGAAGCGCAAGCGGCGGCGGCGGCAGUGGUGGCAAGACUAAUGGAAGCACCAGAAGGAAAACUGUUAACACAACCAUGACCAUGACCGCUAUCGCUUUGAAGUACCCGAACAUUAAACUCCGAACUAGCUUGUGAUCAUCUCGAUCUCUUCUAUCAAAUACUGGCCGGUGUGAUAUUGAACUUAGUGGGUUCUUAUUUUGCUUUAACCUGUCUUUCUUGUAGAGAAAUGUUACAUAGGAGAUGGAAAAGGAGGAAAUCAAGAUGUAUAUAUGUAUGGAGAGACACAGAAGAGUGUGAAUGAGAGAAGGAGAAUUUGAAAGAGACUAUUAAUAUACAUAAAGAAAGAGAAAGAUGAAUUGAAAUUGAGGGAGGGGCCAAUUUUUG
rnacentral:lncRNA from 1 species